CUUUGCGUCAAUCUCAAUAACUCUCUUAAGUCAUGGAGACAAUAUCAGUGAAAAAUUUGCCUGUAGAUCUGUGCAGCCCAACUAGAACGCUGGUGACUUCUGAAGAAAUUAUUCUACAUGAUAGCAAACACUUUUCUUUCAAGGUGACAAUCUUUAUCUACACAGAUCUGAUGUUGGUUACCAGAGAGGAUGACCCGGGUCACUGUAACGUUCUGCAAAACCCUCUAUACCUCAGACAG